UACGUAGGGAGCAAGCGUUGUUCGGAUUUACUGGGCGUAAAGGGCGCGUAGGCGGCCUGUCAAGUCAACUGUGAAAUCUCCGGGCUUAACUCGGAACGGUCAACUGAUACUGUGCGGCUAGAGUGCAGAAGGGGCAACUGGAAUUCUCGGUGUAGCGGUGAAAUGCGUAGAUAUCGAGAGGAACACCAGUGGCGAAGGCGACUACCUGGCCUGUUCUUGACGCUGAGGCGCGAAAGCUAGGGGAGCAAACGGG
rnacentral:rRNA from 1 species